rnacentral:rRNA from 1 species
AUACGGAGGAUCCGAGCGUUAUCCGGAUUUAUUGGGUUUAAAGGGUGCGUAGGUGGUUUGAUAAGUCAGCGGUGAAAGUUUGCAGCUUAACUGUAUAAAUGCCGUUGAAACUGUCGGACUUGAGUGUAAAUGAGGUAGGCGGAAUGCGUGGUGUAGCGGUGAAAUGCAUAGAUAUCACGCAGAACUCCGAUUGCGAAGGCAGCUUACUAAGCUACAACUGACACUGAAGCACGAAAGCGUGGGGAUCAAACAGGAUUAGAUACCCUGGUAGUCCACGCAGUAAACGAUGAUUACUAGCUGUUUGCGAUACACAGUAAGCGGCACAGCGAAAGCGUUAAGUAAUCCACCUGGGGAGUACGCCGGCAACGGUGAAACUCAAAGGAAUUGACGGGG